UGAAAUAUAAUACUUUUGUAAGCGUCAGGCAUGACAUCAGAAGUCACAACAUAUCAUAUCACAGUAUAAACCAAAUAAGUGUACAAACUUGCAAUACUUGAGGAAAAUUAAAGUCUUGGUUUGAGCUAAAAUUUAAUGGCGUUUUCCGGUGCACAAGUUCUCCUAUUUCCAUUUCCAACUGCAGGUCACAUAAUCCCCCUCCUUGACCUAGCCAACCACCUCAUAAAUCAUAACCUAAAACUCACAAUUCUUGUCACACCUCAAAACCUACCAUUACUCGAGCCAAUCCGAGCAAUUCACCCUUCCGAUUCUAUUCAAACACUUUGCCUUUCAUUUCCCCAACUCCCAGCUGGAUCCAGUUUUGCUGCAAGGGUUCGUUCAACCUCUGAGCUUUACAAUCCGAUUGUCGAUUGGUUCCGUACCCACCCGUCACCUGUGGCCAUUAUCUCAGAUUUCUUCCUUGGUUGGACUCAUGAACUGGCAUGCCGACUAGGUGUUCGACGUAUUGCCUUUUGGCCGUCCGGAGCUUUUACUUGCUUAGUUAUAAGUCAUACAUGGAGCAACGUUGAAGAAAUCUUGUCUACAACUAAUGAAAACUCUUUGAUUACUUUCCAUAAUAUACCCAAUACGCCGGAAUAUCCUCGAUGGAAGGUGUGUACUUUGAGCAGUCAAUACAAGAAAGGAGACCCCGAUUGGGAAUUCUUUUUGAAAAUAUGAAGAGUUGGGGGGUUGUGUUUAACUCUUGUAGAGAAGUGGAGGGCGUUUUUAUUGAUCGAGUAAAGAAAGAAAUGGGCCAUGAUAGGGUUUGGGCCGUUGGGCCCUUGCUACCUUUGGACAAUAAUUUGGUAGGCCCAUAUUAUUUUCAACGAGGCGGGUCGAGUGUGAUGCCACGUGAUGAAGUGAUGACGUGGUUAGAUGACAAGGCCGAUGAUUCAGUUGUUUACGUGAGUUUCGGGAGUCGUGCAAUGUUGAUGCCCUGGCGACGGCCUUGGAGUGUAGUGGGGUGAAUUUCGUGUGGUGCUUGAAAUUCAAGAGGAAGGACAGGUGGCAGGCAACGAGGGAGUAGUCACGAAGGAAUAUGAGAAUCGAAUAGCAAAUAGAGGGUUGAUAAUCAAAGGUUGGGCUCCACAAGUUGCGAUACUAAGUCAUCGAGCUGUGAGCGUUUUCUUGACUCAUUGCGGAUGGAACUCCAUACUAGAAGGCAUAUCCUCUGAGGUGCUCAUGCUAACAUGGCCUAUGGGUGCAGACCAAUUUAUAAGUGCAGAAUUGUUGGUUAACGAACUCAAAGUGGGAAUUAGAGCCUGCGAAGAUGGUUGUCAGGUCCCUACUUGCCUGUUUUCUCCUAUCCAUCGUAAGAAGGAGCUCCACAUCUGUCUGGAAUAUUCACAUUCAAAGAACAAGUGAGCGUGAGUUUCUUCAAUAUCAGCUCUGCAUAGUACACAGUUCAUAGGGACUUGUAUUCCCCAUUUAGCCAUUCUAUCUGCUGUACUAAAUCUCCUUUGAAGUGCAAGCCAAAGUAUAAAUUGAUACUUUGGUACAGAACAUGGAAUCAUAUUGAGGUUUCUCCAUAUAGCUCUAGGAUAUUGAGGGAGUAAGUAUUGGUAUGCCUUCUUGAUCAUGAACUUCCCAGCAUGAGUGAGUUGUUGUAAUUCUUCACACACAUCAUUUCUCCCAUACCAUUUCCUUACAUCAAAGAUUUUCCUAACAAGCCAACAUGCUUGCCUAGGUGUCUCCAUAGUACUGCUUCUACCCUUAAUAUAGAAACUGUGGAUCCAUUGUAUCCAGAGAGCGUCUUUCUUUGCUGUGAUAGCCCAAAGCAAUUUUAA